ACGCUCUAACCACUAGGCUACCCUGUUGCCGUGGGAAUACGUCAUGAUGACACAUGAUACGUCACUCAGCUAUUAGUCCCUGUUUGUGUUCCAAAUGGCACCCUAUUCCCUAUGUAGGGCACUACCCACUCUAUGGGCCCUGGUCUAAAGUAGUGCACUAUAUAGGGAAAAGGGUGCCAUUUGGGAUGAAGGUAUUGUAAAGAACUAGUAACCUCCCCUUUAUGGACACAUUGGACUGGCGGUGUAUGAAAACAUUACUGGCUGUCAAAUCCUUGCUUCCUCCCUCCUUGUUUCCUCAAUCCAUCUCAAAUCGCUUCGGAGGAGAUGAGUGGAUCCAAGGUCCCUCCCUUGGUUGUCAUCCUCCAAUGAGCUUUGAGAGGAAUUGAUAAAAAACAGGGAAGCAAUGAUUUGACAGCUGGCAAAGUUUUCCUCACUCUUUGAAGGCUGUGAAUCUAGCCUUCAAAGAGUUUAUUCAAAAGCCUGGCCUUCAUUUCAUCACCAUUAGAGGUUUAUACUAUUUGUAGGUGUUGCUGUUAUUUGGCAACGCAGACUGUUAUCUCAUUGGUUGAGGCAUUACUGAGAACAAGCCACCUGUGGAGUGUCAUUGCAUUUCUGUGCGGGGGGAGAGGGGAUGUAUGUUGAGGGUGUAUUGUGGAUACACGGGUGAGGUAGGUGUUUACAAACAGUGAGAGUACAUAGGAACAACCAUCAGCGGUUGGUUUUCCUGACAGACAGACGCUCGUCCCCAGACUCUACAGAACACAGAUCAAGCCCUAUCUGACUGAGAGACAUGUCCUCCUCCUCUCUUCUGUGGUGCCUGCUGGUGGUAUGUGUACUGGCUGUGGUCCAGAUCUAUACAGCAGAGGAACGUAAGGUCACCAAGGUGUUAAACCUCCGUGCCACUGACCUGCACAGCAGCCUGCUAGGGAUCCCUGAUGCCUACGUCGAGGUAAAUCUCUCCUCACCUGAGUCACCUGUCCACCAUGAUAGCUGAUGUGUGGUUGAUCUGUCUGGCGCCAUAUGUCUGGGUGGUGGAUAAGGUAAUAUCCCAACCACUUACCAUGUAUAGCCCUUUGAGCAUCUGGGAAAAAAACUUUAUAUAACUCUAUCAUUAUUUUAUUAUUGUUAUUAAAGGGAUAGUUCCCCCAAAUGCAUUGAUUGCUGGCUUACCUUGUCAAUAGACUGCUUACAGGGCAAGGAAACAGUCAAGAUAAAAAUGGUUGUUGACCAUGAAAUAUAUUAUGUGGUCUCUGGGUGACCCUCUGAGGUUAGGGGUCACCAUGAAUAAAAAAAAAAAAGUUUCACCUUUUUUUAACCAGG